ACCACCCUGAGGGGGUUUUUAAUAAUUAUGUUACCACACAGCUUAUAUGGGUACGGUAGUAAUAAAAAAAAAAUGUUUUGACUUGACAAAGGUCAGAUUGGGAUCUGUUUAAAUAAAUUAGUGUUUCUUUUUCAUUGAUGACCUAAAAGUUUGACUCUCAAACAUCAAUUUCUGGAGUUUCAAGCAAGUUUCCAGUCUCUGCAAGUUGAUUUUCAAAGAGACCAGAAAUAAAAUGAAACUAAUGGCUGCGUGAAAUGAACAAAAUCAGCUUUAUGGUAUGUUUUGGAAAAUGGCCGUAUUGCAUAAAUUGUAGCUGAUACACUAAAACUUGUGUUGUUGUUGUUUGAUGCCGGUAACAUGAAUGUGUUGUAGUUUGUGACUUUAACUCAAACAGCCACCUUAACUCAAAAAAAUGUCUCCUCAUAUAUAAAUAAAUCCCCACUAAGCUGCACCAAACCUUUGUCUGAGUCUGCUGGUGACAGAGCUCAGUGUAGUGGAAGAUCCCAAGGCCAAGAGAGAGCAGGAAAAGCAUGUUGACUAUCAAUAAUUAAAAGCUGGAAGGGGUGGAGGGGGGUAUUUCGAACCCUGACGUCAUGAACGAGAGCCGCCGGCAAGAAAAAACACCCCGAGGUUACAGGGAGGAGAAGGGGAGGGGACAUCUAUCUGUUGGCACAACGGAGGACGACGAGGACAAAAACAGCCGAUAAAAACAUCACAACAGUCGCUCUUCAGUCCUCUGACUCAUUUUACUAAGGCAGACAGGAAACGUAAAGGAAGCUCCAUACAUCAGACUGAGUUCAACAUAGUGCAGUGGCAGAGGUGACGGCACGAGAGCAUCUCCCGAAUGACAACAGAGAGGACUAUCUGCAAACUACAGUGUGUUUGUGGGUUUUGGGCUUAAAGAGUGGAGUAAAUGUUCAUCAGUUUUACUGGACGUCCUGAACGCAGCAUCAACACACAGAACAAAGUCUUGACCUCCACAGAAAUAUAUUUGGCAUUUGCUGCUUCAUGAGGUGCGAGAAAGUCUGAUACAGAAAGGAACAGCACACACAAUCUGAAAUUCAAAGAAAAGUUUUGGGAAGUUCAUUUUAAAUCUACACAAAGUCUGAGACCUUGGGAGGAACAGAUGAAUGAAACCGUUUUUUGACUUAAUAUU